CAUAGGUUAAUGAGGCGAACCGGGGGAACUGAAACAUCUAAGUACCCCGAGGAAAAGAAAUCAACCGAGAUUCCCCCAGUAGCGGCGAGCGAACGGGGAGCAGCCCAGAGCCUGAAUCAGUAUGUGUGUUAGUGGAAGCGUCUGGAAAGGCGCGCGAUACAGGGUGACAGCCCCGUACACAAAAAUGCACAUGCUGUGAGCUCGAUGAGUAGGGCGGGACACGUGGUAUCCUGUCUGAAUAUGGGGGGACCAUCCUCCAAGGCUAAAUACUCCUGACUGACCGAUAGUGAACCAGUACCGUGAGGGAAAGGCGAAAAGAACCCCGGCGAGGGGAGUGAAAAAGAACCUGAAACCGUGUACGUACAAGCAGUGGGAGCACGCUUAGGCGUGUGACUGCGUACCUUUUGUAUAAUGGGUCAGCGACUUAUAUUCUGUAGCAAGGUUAACCGAAUAGGGGAGCCGAAGGGAAACCGAGUCUUAACUGGGCGUUAAGUUGCAGGGUAUAGACCCGAAACCCGGUGAUCUAGCCAUGGGCAGGUUGAAGGUUGGGUAACACUAACUGGAGGACCGAACCGACUAAUGUUGAAAAAUUAGCGGAUGACUUGUGGCUGGGGGUGAAAGGCCAAUCAAACCGGGAGAUAGCUGGUUCUCCCCGAAAGCUAUUUAGGUAGCGCCUCGUGAAUUCAUCUCCGGGGGUAGAGCACUGUUUCGGCAAGGGGGUCAUCCCGACUUACCAACCCGAUGCAAACUGCGAAUACCGGAGAAUGUUAUCACGGGAGACACACGGCGGGUGCUAACGUCCGUCGUGAAGAGGGAAACAACCCAGACCGCCAGCUAAGGUCCCAAAGUCAUGGUUAAGUGGGAAACGAUGUGGGAAGGCCCAGACAGCCAGGAUGUUGGCUUAGAAGCAGCCAUCAUUUAAAGAAAGCGUAAUAGCUCACUGGUCGAGUCGGCCUGCGCGGAAGAUGUAACGGGGCUAAACCAUGCAC
rnacentral:rRNA from 1 species